rnacentral:rRNA from 1 species
UACGUAGGUGACAAGCGUUGUUCGGAAUCACUGGGCGUAAAGGGUGCGUAGGCGGGUCUUUAAGUCAGGGGUGAAAUCCUGGAGCUCAACUCCAGAACUGCCUUUGAUACUGAAGAUCUUGAGUUCGGGAGAGGUGAGUGGAACUGCGAGUGUAGAGGUGAAAUUCGUAGAUAUUCGCAAGAACACCAGUGGCGAAGGCGGCUCACUGGCCCGAUACUGACGCUGAGGCACGAAAGCGUGGGGAGCAAACAGG